UCAAAAGUCAAGUCGGGGGCUGCAGAGCCCUCGUCUACACCCAUGUCUUUUGCGUACUUCUUGUUUCCUCGGUGGCGCAAGCCGCCGAUUGGACAAACCAAAACCUUUUUUUGUAAUUGCAAUCAGCGUCUGAAAAUAAUCUAAUUAUUUA
rnacentral:misc_RNA from 1 species